UGAAAAAGCUGAAACUGUGAGGGUUGUAGAUGGAAUUUAUUCAAUUUUAAUAUUUGUAGAUAGGCAAAUCCGCGAAAAGCUUUCUCCUUCCUCCACACCGGGAAAAACAAAAAUGCUAACUUGCAGUUGCAGAGUCCAACUCCCUCACCAACCGGUCCUUAUAGUCCCACCCACCGCACCGCCAAGGGCCAAAGACGGCGGCCUCCUCUUCCGCCAGAAACUCCUCUACCUCCAAUCCUUAAAUAUCGACCCUCACAAAGCUCUCCGCCUGAAUCCUUCCCUCCGUUCCACCCCUCUUUCCUCUCUCCUUUCCCUCGAACACUCCCUGUCUUCCUUCGGCCUCUCGCGCACCUCCAUCGGCCGUAUCCUUGACAUGUACCCUCUCCUCCUUACCUCCGACCCUCUCCCUCCCAUCAACUUCCUCCUCCACGAGGUCCCUCUCCCUCUCCCACACCUCCCUCUCUCCCUCUCCCGCUGCCCUCGCCUUUUGCUCUCCUCUGUCACCACCCAACUCCGCCCCGCCCUCCGGUUCCUCACUUCCCUUGGCCUUGUUUUGAAUUCCCACACUAGCCUUCUCUUGGUUUCCAACGUGGAAAACACCUUGAAACCGAAAAUUAGCUUCCUUCAGUCUCUGGGUUUUGACGAGCCGGCGGUGAACCGGAUGGUGGUGAGGUCACCCGGGUUGCUGACUUUGAGUGUGGAGAAUAAUAUGAGGCCUAAAGUUCAGUUUUUCUUGGAGGAAAUGGAAGGUGACUUGGAGGAAUUGAAAAGGUUUCCUCAGUAUUUUUCCUUUAGUUUAGAAAAAAAGAUUAAGCCAAGGCAUAGAUCUUUGGUGGAACAUGGGUUUAAGUUGCCUCUGUCGAAGAUGUUAAAGGUUAGUGAUGGAGAGUUCAAUGCUAGAUUGAUUGAGAUGCGGUUACAAAGAGUUCAAAGGAGAUAGACCUUUUUGUUGAACUAGGGACUUGCCCUUGUAAGGGUGUAAUGGACAGAAAGGCACGGUUUGUUGACACUUGGCAGUCGAGUUGCUUUAGGAAUUUUGACUCGUGUCAUUAUAAUGCCUUCUACUUGGAGGGCUGCUUGGUAUACAUUGAAGGUGGUGCCUUAGAUGUUUCAUGGGGUUUUAGUACAGGACUUGAUUGUAAUUGAUGUGGAGAUCGCCUUAUUCCAACAGAUUAGUAUUAUUUCUAUUCAUGGUAAGGUGGCCUAUACUCUAAUUUAUCAACUCGGGGGUUUUAGCAUGCUGGAAAUAAGAGAAUGCUGCUAAGAGGAUACUUGGACUUCAGGGAUUAUUAGAACCAAUAUAGCAUGCUGGAAAUAAGAAAUGCUGCUAAGAGGAUACUUGGACUUGAGGGAUUACGAGAACCAAUGUAGUUAAAAUAAUUACUGUAUGUCAAAAUGGUGAAAUCUGUUGAAAGUUCUGUCAACUAUUUUCUGAAGGAAGCAGCACAGAUCAUUCUCAACAUGUGUAAUAGCAGAUCUGGUUUUGCCAGUGGUUAUUAUCCCUCCAAUGGAGGAUUAAGGUCCGCAGAUUAUCUUUUCUUCUCCUCUUGGCCUUGUUCAUAUGCAAAAAAAACGAUAGUCAUAUUCUCGUAAAAAGCUGAUGAAAUCAUGAUGCCUUUGGAAUUUCUUUGAAUUAUGGAAAAACUGAAAAUUAUGAGAUGCCUUUAUCUUUUGGUCCAUUUUUGUGCAUUGUCUUUUAGUUUGAAUGUGAGUUGUUGUAGACAGUUUUAGGAAUUUUCACGCCAUGUACUUCUCAUAAUUUUAAGGCAUCUUAGGACUAUUAAUUUGAUGGCUUCUAAAAGCGCCAAAGAUGGCCUAUGCCUUUACACGAAGUUGAACUGCCUGUCUUUUAAAUGCAUAGACACAUUUCUCCCUCCCCUCUUUUUUCUCUUUGAAAUCAACAGGUCUCUUCUUUUUUUAGCUAGUAAUGCUUUUCAUCCAUCUUUACUCUCUGUCCUCCCUUCGCUCAUCUUAGUAAUGCUUUUUGUCCAUCUUUAUUUUCUGUCUACUCCUCUCAUCUUAGUAAUGCUUUUCAUCCAUCUUUAUUUUCUGUACUCCCUUCUCUCAUCUCCAUCCCCUCUCUCUCUCUCUCUCUCUCUCCCCCACCCCCCCACAAAAAGGAAAAUCAAAGCUUUUAAUUUUUCUACUUAGUUCAUCUUUUCAGCCCUUGUUGGUUAUGCAUCAUAGAUAGACUGUUUGCGGAACUCUGGAGCCUGCUGCCUCACCUUGUGUUGGGAGCAAUGUCUGUAACAUAAUAUUUACAUAUUACAUUUCAGAAGGUUGAAUUUGAACAACUGGUCAUGGCCAUUUAUCUUUGAUUUCUUUCAUAUUUUCUGACUGUUAACAAAUAACAGGUGUCUGUACACAACUUUGUAUAAUUUAAUCUGCUUUCAUAUAUUAUAUCUUCUAACCUUUGUAUCAAGGACACCACAAUGAGUGAUAUGGGCAUCUGAACUUUGACCUUAAUGAAAUCUAUUGCUUAGAUAGUCAUUUGCUUAGUUUAUGUGAAGCAUUUGAAAGCAUGUAUGAUAUGCUCGUCGUUGGAGGCACCAUAGCCUAGAAUCUGCAAUAUAAAUUGGUUCUCCCAUGCUUACUGCCCAUAUGACACGAAAGCACAUAUGAAACUGCCGGAUGCAUAAAAAUGUUACUAAUCCCUACAUUUCUUCUGUAGUUUCUAUUGCUAUUAGUAUUGACAUGAUGAUAUUCUGUCUCCUAGUGGUGGGGAACUCGAACUGCCUACAGUUCGGGAGAGCCACAUGACUCUCUCUUCCAUGUCCUUGUCGUGCUUCCCCUAUUUCAUGUAGUUUUUGUUGUUUCUUUUGUAAUUGGGCCAAAUCAGUUGUAACAUGAAUUCCCUGUCUUGUUU